rnacentral:rRNA from 1 species
UACGUAGGGGGCAAGCGUUGUCCGGAUUUAUUGGGCGUAAAGAGCGUGUAGGCGGUUUGGUAGGUCCGUUGUGAAAACUCGAGGCUCAACCUCGAGACGCCGAUGGAAACCAUCAGACUAGAGUCCGGAAGAGGAGAGUGGAAUUCCUGGUGUAGCGGUGAAAUGCGCAGAUAUCAGGAAGAACACCCGUGGCUAAGGCGGCUCUCUAGUACGGUACUGACGCUCAUGCACGAAAGCGUGGGGAGCAAACAGG